GCGAGAGUGCGAUCGACCCUUGGAUCGUCUUCGGCUGACUUGUGAAAGCUUUUGGAGGUUGAACUUGAGGGUUGAGGCCUAGUUGAGCUAAAUUUCGGGACUCCUUUGGGCUGGAUUGAGCUCAGUGAUAGAGCCACCUACAGGAGAGGCUAGGGAUCCCGGCAAGGAAGUCACAUCUAGCUAGACCUAGCUUGCGGUUUUACUAGGUGAUCACCUUGCUACUCGUGCCACGGCCGAGGGUGAUGUACCCGUGUAUAGAGAGACUACCAUUGUACAUGUAUUUUGUGUACCCUGUGAUGUAUAUGUGGUUUGGAUCGGGGAUUGUAAUUUUGAUAUUUCUCUAUGAUGUGAGAU